CUGGAGAGCCGCUGUCCGGCGCGCUGAGAGGUGCAGCAGCUGUACUCCUCCGCUCCACUCUGUCACACACUUCUCCUCACUCACUUCCUCCUCCUCGGCUCGCAGGCGCCCAUUAAGAUGCCUACGUCACUACAGCCUGUAAUCGGAGGUGGAGCAGGGGGAUAGAAAGAGGGCAGCCAUCUUGGAUUUCUCAUCUUCACCUGACAAGAUACAUUAUCCGUUUGCAUACCUCUUACUAAAGCGUUUCACUUGCCCUGGCAAACAUGAAUCCAGGUCAGAGUGGGUCAUGAACGCAAACCUGCAGUGUGAGUCAGGUUGAGGCUGAAAGAUGAUGAUACUGGCUCGUCUGGGGCGUCUAUUGUAUGCCUGAUCUGAUCUCUGGCUGGAUCAUCGACAGUGCGGUAUUACCUGUUACCAGUUUUGUCACUGCAUAUAUUUAUACCUUAAAAACCUUUUCGUAUGUGUAGCCUGGACACGUUUCUGUUAAAGUUGAAACAAAUUUGAUGAUUCUUCCUGAUUGUUAUAUUUGCUCAUGCAAUUGGACUUUGUGCUCGUUACUUUAAAACUUGACAGAUUAAACAUUUAAAUGCUGGUUUUACAAACAUUUCCACGUACU